rnacentral:rRNA from 1 species
UACGUAGGGUGCGAGCGUUAAUCGGAAUUACUGGGCGUAAAGCGUGCGUAGGCGGUUUCGCAAGUCCGCUGUGAAAGCCCCGGGCUCAACCUGGGAAUGGCAUGGGAAACUGGCUUGCUGGAGUGUGGCAGAGGGGGGUGGAAUUCCGCGUGUAGCAGUGAAAUGCGUAGAGAUGCGGAGGAACACCGAUGGCGAAGGCAGCCCCCUGGGCCAACACUGACGCUCAGGCACGAAAGCGUGGGGAGCAAACAGG